UCCUUCUCUCUCUUUUUUUUCUUUCCUUUUGCCUCUUCCCCUAUGCUGUGUUAGUUCGAGAUGAUGCCCAUGGCCUCGGCAGCAUUAAUGGUGGCCUUGGUGGCCCUUCGGCAGCCUCUGUGGGCCAUUUCUCCCUCUUCCUUUUAUUCCCUCCCCUUCUCUCUCUCUUCCUCUUUCUCCUUCUCUCUUCUCUAGUUUCCUGUUAAUGUAUCAUUUUGAAGACUGGAACCAUUCUAAUCCGUCGUCGGUACAGUUCAGCGUGUCUCGAACCAGGUGGUUCGGGAUCAUUCCACCGACCAUGCUGACAGC
rnacentral:lncRNA from 1 species